GGGUCACGUACAUCCGAGGGUCG
rnacentral:rRNA from 2 species